rnacentral:rRNA from 1 species
GACGAACGCUGGCGGCGUGCCUAAUACAUGCAAGUCGAGCGGAUGGAAGGAAGCUUGCUUCCUAAAGUCAGCGGCGGACGGGUGAGUAACACGUGGGCAACCUGCCCCUAAGAUCGGGAUAACUUCGGGAAACCGGAGCUAAUACCGGAUAUGAUUAUGUCUCACAUGGGACAUAAUGGAAAGACGUUUUCGGCUGUCACUUGGGGAUGGGCCCGCGGCGCAUUAGCUAGGUGGUGAGGUAACGGCUCACCAAGGCGACGAUGCGUAGCCGACCUGAGAGGGUGAUCGGCCCCACUGGGACUGAGACACUGCCCAGACUCCUACGGGAGGCAGCAGUAGGGAAUCUUCGGCAAUGGACGAAAGUCUGACGGAGCAACGCCGCGUGAGUGAAGAAGGUUUUCGGAUCGUAAAACUCUGUUGUUAGGGAAGAACAAGUACCAUAGUAACUGAUGGUACCUUGACGGUACCUAACCAGAAAGCCACGGCUAACUACGUGCCAGCAGCCGCGGUAACAC